rnacentral:rRNA from 1 species
UAAUACGUAGGUGGCAAGCGUUGUCCGGAUUUACUGGGCGUAAAGAGCGCGCAGGCGGUCGGAUCAGUCGAAUGUGAAAGCCCCCGGCUCAACUGGGGAGGGUCAUUCGAUACUGUCCGACUCGAAGGCAGGAGAGGGAAGCGGAAUUCCCGGUGUAGUGGUGAAAUGCGUAGAUAUCGGGAGGAACACCAGUGGCGAAGGCGGCUUUCUGGCCUGUUCUUGACGCUGAGGCGCGAAAGCUAGGGGAGCGAACGGGAUUAGAUACCCUGGUAGUCCACGCCGUAAACGAUGAAUGCCAGCCGUUAGUGGGUUUACUCACUAGUGGCGCAGCUAACGCUUUAAGCAUUCCGCCUGGGGAGUACGGUCGCAAGAUUA